AUGUACAUUCCUACAUCAUAGUGUUAAUCCACUGGAUCCCAUUAGAAUUUUGCAGUUAAGUGUGCUCAGGCUAGAGUAGUACUAGGAUGGGUGACCGCCUGGGAAGUCCUAGUGUUUUACAUA
rnacentral:rRNA from 1 species